GUGUGUGUGUGUGUGUGUGUGUGUGUUGGUCCCCUUGAGCGACAAGUAGAAGUGGCCUUGCUCGCCUCCAGAGCCAGGUCCUUGGUCCCCCGGAGUUCCAGACUGCCCCGCUGGAGUUAGCGUCUGCAUUUUGUCCUAAACCUGCAAGUAUUCACGACUUUGUUCACCAUGUUAAGUCAUCCCUCGCCAUGACUAUGGAAGAAGUAAAGUCACCUCGCCUGGCGAUGGCUCAAGUCUAUCUACUGUCUGGAGAAUGGUGAGUCCCAAGCCACGUCAACCUGGGCUACAUAGCAGAUCCUGUCUCAAAAGAAAAAAAACAUUUUUCCCCCUGUAUAACUUAACGACUCAGCUUGCUCAGCAUUCUCUUCAGACAAACGUGAGGCUCAGAUCCCAAGAGAAAAAAUCUUUUCUAAGGAUAAGACAAGUUGGAACCAAUGGAGAACUUCGCCAGGGGAAAUAGAAUAGUAGAUGUCAAGGAAUCAGGGACAUUUUUGAAGGUCUGUGGUUGGAAGGAUCUGGGAUCCUGCCGUGAAGGUCAAGAUGACCAGCAAAUGAGAGGUGAAGUAAGAUGCUGGAAACCUGAUCUAUGCUUCAGGUUUUUGGACGAAGUCUAACUGGCAGCCCUGGUAAGCCCUAGCCUAGAAGGUGUGUGACUAAUGUGUGAGACUGACUGGUUCCCUUUCUGAAUUCUCUCAAGGCUUUCUUAUCUUAGGAAGUGAGGAAUCUGGCUGAAUCCCAGGACAUCCAUCUGGUUAAAAUAAAUGUCUUGUGAGGUCUAAGAUGGAAAAGAACCUGAUGAAGUCAGGUUUGGAGGUGGGAGACAGAUUUGGAAGUAGGGUACAAUUUGUCUUUGUGAGUUGUAGGGUUUUUAAAAGCAUGUCAAACACAUGGUCUCAACUGUUAAGACUAUUUCCUUCUCACUGAUCUCCUGUGUCUCUGACAGCUGCUUACAGCAAGGUUGUACAGCUGGCCUCAUAUGUACACUGAUGGAUCACAGAAACGUGACAUACUGUGGGAAAAGUGACUGCCUAUGUUAUGUAGUGGACGAAGACAGGGAAGGAAGGUGUACUUGUAUAGUUCACACAGUUUUGGCUCAAUCUAUGAUGUGGAGCCCAGUGGAUGGGAGGAUAGUGAUUAAAGUGACAAUCCCAGGAAGAUGACCUUCAGGUUAUUAUAGAUUGUUGAGGACUUGUGUGUCUGCCUGCCUAUCUGUCUGUCUAUCUGGUUUUUCCCAACAAAUACUAAAAAACUGAUAUAGUGUCUUGGGAGGCUGAGGUAGAAGGACCCUGAGUUUGAGGCUAGCCUAAGCUACAUAGUGAGAUUUAAAAACAAAAUAGAAUAGGUGUCCUUCCCAAAUGAGGCUGUUCUAAGACAAGGAGUGGUCAUAUACUCAACUUCAGGAAGAGGCAUCAGUCAUACUUGCAUGUCAAUUCGAGUGCUAUCAACAGUUUCUCAUGUUUUGGUUGCUUUCUUUUUUUGAGACAGGACCUUACAUAUCUCAAGUAACCUCCAACUUGACUGACUAUAUAGCUUAAGAUGAUCUUGAACUUUUAAAAUUAGGGGUGUAUAUGUGAACAUGUGUGCCCCAGUACAUAUGAGAGCAAACAGAGUCAGUUCUUUUUGUAAUUCAGGUCCUAGGAACUGAACUCGGGUGGUUUUGCAGCCAGUCCCUUUACACACUCAGCCAGGUCAGGCUGAAAUUUUGAUUGUCACAACCCUACAAAAGUUCUGGGGGCUGGAGAGAUGGCUCAGCGGUGAAGAGCACUGGCUGCUCUUCCAGAGGUUCCGGGUUCAAUUCCCAGCAACCACAUGAUGGCUCCUAGCCAUCUAUAGUGGGAUCUAUGCCCUCCUCUGGCCUGCAGGUGUACAUGCAGACAGAGCUUGUAUACCUCCUCCUCCACAAAAGAGGGCCAGGGUGGUGGUGGUGCCAGCAGAGGCAGGAGGAUCUCUGUGAGUUGGAGGUCAGCCUGAUCUACAGAGUGAGUUCUAGGACAGGCUCCAAAGCUAUCCUGUCUUGAAAAACCAAAAAAAAAAAAAAAAAAAGAAGACAAA
ensembl:lncRNA